GGUUGAAUUGCCUGACGAAUUGGAAUUCAUUGAGCGUAUAGCUGCCAAUAACCAAUAACUCCAAAAACUAUCAGAUAUGUUUCUGGUGAACUCUGUGAUCCAUGAAGAUAGAUUUAAGAUCUGGUUACAAGGUAAUACUUCAGCUCAAUUUCAAUUUCAAUUAUGUGCGGUACUAUACUUUGCAACUACUGACUGCCCUUCUCACUAAUUCUCUACAGAGGUAUUAGUAUCAUAAAUUCUAUUUGCAUUAGUUCCUCAAAUUGUUAAAUCAUCUUUCUCAUUAAAGACACUUGCUGGAUUCCUCUUCAGGUUGUAGGAAGCUAUAUUGAACAUCCCUUGUAGAAUAACACGACUAAUGGAUAUGCUCAUGGAUCGCGGGGUUGCCUAUUGAUCCUCAUUUUGAAAGAAAGCUUGAAAUAUAAUAAUCAAAGUUUACCUCCAGGUAAUAAGGAACGAGGCCUUAUUGCUUCUUACUCAGUUGACGCGUGAAGCUGGGGACAUUCAAAAGAUUGUCAUAUUUGAAGGUGUAUUUGAGAAGAUUUUGAGUAUCAUAAGAGGUGAAGAAAAUUCAGAUGGUGGAGUUGUUGUACAGGUGAUAUAUUAAUAUUAUCAUAAAGUUAAGUAAA